rnacentral:rRNA from 1 species
GACGAACGCUGGCGGCGUGCUUAACACAUGCAAGUCGAACGAUGAACCCGGAGCUUGCUCCGGCGGAUUAGUGGCGAACGGGUGAGUAACACGUGAGUAACCUGCCCUUGACUCUGGGAUAACUGCUAGAAAUGGUAGCUAAUACCUGAUACGACCCCCGUGUGCAUCCCCCGGGGCUGGAAAGAAUUUCGGUCAAGGAUGGACUCGAAGACUAUCAGCUAGUUGGUGAGGUAACGGCUCACCAAGUUGACGACGGGUAGCCGGCCUGAGAGGGUGACCGGCCACACUGGGACUGAGACAAGGCCCAGGCUCCUACGGGAGGCAGCAGUGGGGAAUAUUGCACAAUGGGCGCAAGCCUGAUGCAGCAACGCCGCGUGAGGGAUGACGGCCUUCGGGUUGUAAACCUCUUUUAGUAGGGAAGAAGCGAAAGUGACGGUACCUGCAGAAAAAGCACCGGCUAACUACGUGCCAGCCGCCGCGGUAA